GACGAACGCUGGCGGCGUGCUUAACACAUGCAAGUCGAACGGAAAGGCCCUGCUUUUGUGGGGUGCUCGAGUGGCGAACGGGUGAGUAACACGUGAGUAACCUGCCCUUGACUUUGGGAUAACUUCAGGAAACUGGGGCUAAUACCGGAUAGGAGCUCCUGCUGCAUGGUGGGGGUUGGAAAGUUUCGGCGGUUGGGGAUGGACUCGCGGCUUAUCAGCUUGUUGGUGGGGUAGUGGCUUACCAAGGCUUUGACGGGUAGCCGGCCUGAGAGGGUGACCGGCCACAUUGGGACUGAGAUACGGCCCAGACUCCUACGGGAGGCAGCAGUGGGGAAUAUUGCACAAUGGGCCGAAGCCUGAUGCAGCAACGCCGCGUGCGGGAUGACGUCCUUCGGGUUGUAAACCGCUUUCGCCUGUGACGAAGCGUGAGUGACGGUAAUGGGUAAAGAAGCACCGGCUAACUACGUG
rnacentral:rRNA from 1 species